AUCCCUCACUCCUCACCCUCACUGUAGACCCGACCACGGGCUCUACCUCAUCCCUCACUCCUCACCCUCACCGGACCACGGUCUCUACCUCAUCCCUCACUCCUCACCCUCACCGGACCACGGGCUCUCCCUCAUCCCUCACUCCUCACCUUCACUGUAGACCCGACCACGGGCUCUACCUCAUCCCUCACUCCUCACCGUCACUGUAGACCCGAACACGGGCUCUACCUCAUCCCUCACUCCUCACCCUCACUGUAGACCCGACCAUGGGCUCAACCCCAUCCCUCACUCCUCACCCUCACCCGACCACGGGCUCUACCCCAUCCCUCACUCCUCACCCUCACUGUAGACCCGACCACGGGCUCUACCUCAUCCCUCACUCCUCACCCUCACUGUAGACCCGACCACGGGCUCUACCUCAUCCCUCACUCCUCACCCUCACCCGACCAUGGGCUCUACCCCAUCCCUCACUCCUCACCCUCACUGUAGACCCGCCCACGGGCUCAACCCCAUCCCUCACUCCUCACCCUCACUGUAGACCCGUCCACGGGCUAUACCCCAUCCCUCACUCCUCACCCUCAUUGAGGUGUAUUACCGUGGCGUCCUCAGCCUCCAGCACCACCUCCCCUGCCCUGACUUCCCCAGGCUCUUGCUGGAUUUCAGGAGCCACGGGACCCUCUGGGUUCAGUUCCACAGCAACAUCCUGGUCCCUCUCCCUUCAGAUGCUCCCUCUUCACUUUCACCUUCCUGCCCACCACCUGAAGCCACCCGUCCCGUGUCCAACCACGACUUCCACAGCCGGUGGCACAGGGGAGGGAGGCUCACUGCCUCUGAGGCAGAGUUGGCAGCCUGCAUCUUCAGGCAAUUGUUCUGAAUGUGACCAAACUCCUUCAAGGCACGGCACCUCGGGUGACCGGUAGCCCACGGGAUGGUAUAGUAAUGCCCCUGAAAAUAAACCUGAAUCCUCCCCUUGGCAUCCCCAUCCCGGGGUAGCUGCACAGACAGAAUAGGUGCUCAGAACCCCGCGGCAGUGCUCUGUACCGAAUCGGGGUUAUUUUCGAAAGCGUCUUGCCGAUGGAGUGCAGAGAGGGGAAUAGGGCCUUGUCAGAGAGGAUUACCAACUGCACAGAGCCCACCUGCAUAAAAACCUCCCCACCUUUAAUCCCCAACUCGGCCAAAAACGCACCCCUCAGUGACUUCAGUACCACCCCACCAAAGUGUGACCCUCCCUCGGUACCGCACCUCCCACCCCUGCCUCAUUUCCCCUCCCAUCUUCUCUCCAGGCUGCAACAGGUUGGAGUCCCUGGACGUUUCCAAGAACGCACUGGGAACCCGCGGCCUGCAGCCACUGCUCCACUGCGUCCGGCCCACGCUGCUGACCCGGCUGAAUCUGCGCUCUGUGACCCACGCACAAGACAGCCUCCUCCUCGACCCACUCGUCAGCUAUCUGAGUCAGGAUGGCUGUGUUCUGGCUCAUCUCACCCUCUCCAGCAACGCCCUCAACAACGACAGCGUCAGAAAUCUUGCCAGGUGCCUGCCCUCUCUCCCAUCACUGGCAUCCCUGGACCUUUCCCAAAACCCUGACAUCAGCCUGCCUGGUCUGCAGAUACUUCUAGAUGCCCUGGACAAGAGAAUGUCCUGCCUGGAUCUCCUGGAUUUGUCAGGGUGCGCCGUGCAGCGGGAGGACGUCAGCAAUGUUACAGAGAGGUGGUAUCUGAGGGACCUCCGGCUGUGAACAGCGGAUUCUCAGAAGCAGAACAAGCACACGAUUGAGCAGGUCCCUCAUGUGAUUGAAUGACACGGGGUAAAGGGCUGGCACCGGAAGGGCUGGCCACGACUCGAUCAUCCACCUGCGGGACUCUGGGAGGGGAUUAACCUGCUCCGUGACCCAGUUCCUCACUCAGACUGCUCCUUGAAAGAGGAGAGGGGGGAGUAAGGCGCCCACAGCUGUUACACCAAGGAUCAAAGUGCACAGAAUGCAGAAACAGGCCCUUCAGCAAAGGACCUACAUCCCUGCUAACCAUCAGAUAUCCAUCCACACUGACUUCACCCUCACACUAGGGGUUACAGGUUUAAAGGGAGAGGGGAGAUGUUUACACAAAGAGGAACGAGCUGCCGGAGGUUGUGGUUGAGAGGGCUACAAUUAUAAAUACAACCACACUCCUCUCCUCUCAGAUUUGCCCCUCUUCAGCCCUGUACCACUUCCACCUACCCCCUGCCAGCUCACUUCACCUGCCUCCCCCACCCACCUUCCCUUCCCCCUCCCCGGUCUCACCUACCCCCUGCCAGCUCACUUCACCUGCCACCCCCACCCACCUUCCCUUCCCCCUCCCCGG